CACGUAGGGUGCGAGCGUUGUCCGGAAUUAUUGGGCGUAAAGAGCUCGUAGGCGGUGUGUCGCGUCGGCCGUGAAAACCUGCAGCUCAACUGUGGGCUUGCGGUCGAUACGGGCAUCACUGGAGUUCGGCAGGGGAGACUGGAAUUCCUGGUGUAGCGGUGAAAUGCGCAGAUAUCAGGAGGAACACCGGUGGCGAAGGCGGUUCUCUGGGCCUGUACUGACGCUGAGGAGCGAAAGCGUGGGGAGCGAACAGG
rnacentral:rRNA from 1 species